rnacentral:ribozyme from 14 species
UUUUUUUUUUUUACAAUCCAUCAUCAUGGAAAAAAAAAAAGUAAAUAAAGGUAUAGUAGGAGAAGGGAGCUUCAGCAUUAUUGACCAAAUCGCACUAGCAGUGCCUCUAAAUUCAGGCUUUGAAAGUAUCGAAAAGCUUGCGAAUAUAAUAAGAUCCACUGCUGAGGACGAGCUAGCAGCCUCAAAAACUCCAAACGCAAAAGGUUUUGGGGCAGCAUUUAAAAUGAUUAAUG